ensembl:lncRNA
CCGGUGUCUGGCCUGUGUUUGUGGGCAGUGCGGGCGGGAGGAGCGCGGCCCAAAAUGGCGCCAAAAUGUGCGGCCUGGUGAGCUGUGAGGUGGAGACUUCUCUGGUGAACUAAUUGGUUUUAACCCUUUUGUUUCACUCGUCGAAGGAUGGGAGUGUGCCCUGGAGACCCUUGCUACUGCCAAAUGGUGGUGUAGGGUGGGCAGGAUCCUAAUGCAAAGUCCCCAUGGUGAUUGUGGUGACACUGGGUGGCCAUGGCGGGCAUGGGGAUGUUGGCAGGUAGGAGCAGGUUGUUGUGUGGGGUCUGGGCCAUGGCUCUGCCCAGCAUGAGAACCCAAAUCCCACAAACUAAACUGCAUUUUUCCCAUUGACUUGGUGUCUUCCCCUUCUGGGACCAACCUCUGAAGUGGUUUGGGUCAUUACAGAUCACAGAUGCAUCUUUUGUCUGCAUUAACUAUGUAUAUACAUGGGAUGUUGUUUUUUUUCUUUGUGGUUUUCCUACUCUUCAGUACUGAGACCAUUAGCAGCAAGAGCUGGACUUUCACAAUGGUUGGUAUGAUUUUUAUCCCCUCAUCUUCAAAUCAUAGAAUCACUAAGGCUGAGAAGAACACUAAGAUCAUCCAGUCCAACCAACAAUCCAUGCCUGUGACUGCUCUAGACCACGUCCCUCACUGCAGUAUCUACCAUUUUUUUUUAACACCUCCGGGAACAGCAACUCCACCACCUCCAUGGGCAGCCUGUGCCAGUGCCUGACCACUCUGAGAAGAAUUUCUUCCUAAUAUCCAACCUGAACCUCUAUCUCCCCAGGUUUUGUGUCGGUGCCACAGUUGGUGGGAACCUGGGAGCUCAUGGAAGCUGAGCACCGGGCUGUUGGGCACAGUGCUGUGUACAGGAAUCAGGUUUAAGUAUCAUUUCCUGAAAGCUUUCCCUCCAGCUUGUAGCAUGAACAAUCUGAGGUCAAGUUUGGCAGCUCGGUGAGCAACUUCUGUGAGUUUUGGUGCUUUUCUCUGUUCCCUUUGCAGGCAGGAUUUUCUUUAUGCUUUUCUUUCUCUUUCUCAAUAUUUUCCCUAUUGUUUCACUUG